AGAGAAAGGUCCCUGUGCUGCUGAGAAGAAAGUAUAUCUGUUUGAUGCCAGUUGAAAUAUUCUAUAUAUGUCAGUUAAGUCUAAGUUAUUAAUUGUGUUAUUGAGCUCUAUAGUUUUUUUUAAUUCAGCUUUUGUUUGGAAGAUCUGUCCAGUGGUGAAACAGGUGUGUUAAAGUCACCCAUGUUUAUUAUGUUGUGGUCAAUUUGAUUCUUGAACUUGAGAAGAGUUUGUUUGAUGAACAUAGCUGUAUUAUUGUUUGGGGCAUAUAUAUUUAUGAUUGUAAUGUCUUGUUGGUUUAUGGUUCCCUUGAGCAGUAAGUAAUGUCCAUCUUUAUCCCUUUUGAUUAAUUUUGGCUUGAAGUCAACUUUAUUUUAUAUGAGUAUGGAAACUCCUGCUUGCUUCUGCAGUCCAGGUGAGUGGUAUGAUUUUUCCCAACCUUUCACCUUCGAUCUCUGUAUGUCUUUUCCUAACAGAUGAGUCUCCUGUAGGCAGUAUAUUAUUGGAUUUUUAAAAAAAUCCAAUCUGCUAGUCUAUGUCUUUUGAUUGGUGAGUUUCAGCCAUUAACAUUUUGGGUUACUAUUGAGACAUGGUUUGUAUUUCCAGCCAUAUUUAUUUAUUUUUGUUAUUUAACUUGACUUGGUUUUCCUCUUUGAUUAGUUUUUCCUUUAGUGUAAUACCUCCCUCUGCUGGUUUUCAUUGCUGUUUUUCAUUUCCUCUUCAUGAAAUAUUUUGCCAAGCAUGUUUGUAGUGCCAGUUUUCUAGCUAUAAAUUCUUUUAACUUUUGUUUAUCAUGGAAUGCUUUUAUUUCAUUUUCAUAUUUGAAGCUUAAUUUUGCUGGAUACUAGAUUCUUGGUUGGCACCCAUUAUCUUUCAGAGCUUGAGAUAUAUUGUUCCAGGAUCUUCUAGCUUUCAGGGUCUGUGUUGAAAAAUCUAUCGUUAUCCUAAUUGGUUUACCCCUAUAUGCAACCUGAUUCCUUUCUCUUGUGGCUUUUAAAAUUCUCUCCUUAUUCUGUAUGUUGGGCAUUUUCAUCAUAAUGUGUCUUUGUGUGGAUAUGUUGUGAUUUUGCACAUUCAGUGUUCUGUAGGCUUCUUGGAUUUGGAUUUGCAUUUCAUUUUUCAUGUCUGGAAACUUUUCUGAUAGUAUUUCAUUGAACAGAUUGCUCAUUCUUUUGGUUUGGAUCUCUAUGCCUUCCUCUAUCCCAAUAACUCUUAAAUUUGGUCUCUUUAUGCUAUCCCAUAUUUCUUGAAUGUUCUGCUUGUGGUUUCUUAUCAUUUUUGCUGAGCUGUCUACAUUCUUUUCAAUAUGAUAUAUUUUAUCUUCAUUUUCUGAUGUCCUGUCUUCUAAGUGGUAUACUCUGUUGGUGACACUCUCG
rnacentral:lncRNA from 1 species